CCUCCCGGCGGAGCAGGAGGGGACACGGCGGGAGCCGCGCAGCGCCGGGGCCUCGCGCCCGAGAACAUCCAGUUGUAAUUUAAAAGGAAGAUAUUUCUGUUUGAGGAGGAAAGUAAGAGUGAGUAACCUCCAUGGAAGACUCUCAAGAUUUAAAUGAGCAGUCAGUAA